rnacentral:rRNA from 1 species
AGGAACGCGAAGAACCUUACCAGGUCUUGACAUCUUUUGAUCACCUGAGAGAUCAGGUUUCCCCUUCGGGGGCAAAAUGACAGGUGGUGCAUGGUUGUCGUCAGCUCGUGUCGUGAGAUGUUGGGUUAAGUCCCGCAACGAGCGCAACCCUUAUGACUAGUUGCCAGCAUUUAGUUGGACACUCUAGUAAGACUGCCGGUGACAAACCGGAGGAAGGUGGGGAUGACGUCAAAUCAUCAUGCCCCUUAUGACCUGGGCUACACACGUGCUACAAUGGAUGGUACAACGAGUUGCGAGACCGCGAGGUCAAGCUAAUCUCUUAAAGCCAUUCUCAGUUCGGACUGUAGGCUGCAACUCGCCUACACGAAGUCGGAAUCGCUAGUAAUCGCGGAUCAGCACGCCGCGGUGAAUACGUUCCCGGGUCUUGUA